UACGAGGGGGGCAAGCGUUGUUCGGAAUUAUUGGGCGUAAAGGGCGCGUAGGCGGUGCGGCAAGUCACCUGUGAAAUCUCCUGGCUUAACUGGGAGCCUGCAGGCGAAACUGCCGUGCUGGAGUGUGGGAGAGGUGCGUGGAAUUCCCGGUGUAGCGGUGAAAUGCGUAGAUAUCUGGAGGAACACCGGUGGCGAAGGCGGAAUCCUGGACCGGUAUUGACGCUGAGGCGCGAAAGCUAGGGGAGCAAACGGG
rnacentral:rRNA from 1 species